rnacentral:rRNA from 1 species
UGAUUUCGGGAUAAGCCUGGGAAACUGGGUCUAAUACCGGAUACGACCACCUGACGCAUGGCGGGUGGUGUAAAGUUUUUCGAUCGGGGAUGGGCUCGCGGCCUAUCAUCUUGUUGGUGGGGUAAUGGCCUACCACGGCGACGACGGGUACCCGGCCUGAGAGGGCGACCGGCCACACUGGGACUGAGACACGGCCCAUACUCCUACGGGAGGCGGCAGUGGGGAAUAUUGCACAAUGGGGGAAACCCUGAUGCACCGACGCAGCGUGCGGGAUGACGGCCUUCGGGUUGUAAACCGCUUUCAACAGGGAAGAACCUAAAGUGACGGUACCUGCAGAAGAAGUACCGGCUAACUACGUGCCAGCACCCGCGGUAAUACGUAGGGUACGAGCGUUGUCCGGAAUUAUUGGGCGUAAAGAGCUCGUAGGUGGUUGGUCACGUCUGCUGUGGAAACGCAACGCUUAACGUUGCGCGUGCAGUGGGUACGGGCUGACUAGAGUGC